rnacentral:rRNA from 1 species
AGUGAACGCUGGCGGUAGGCCUAACACAUGCAAGUCGAACGGCAGCACAGGAGAGCUUGCUCUCUGGGUGGCGAGUGGCGGACGGGUGAGGAAUACAUCGGAAUCUACUCUGUCGUGGGGGAUAACGUAGGGAAACUUACGCUAAUACCGCAUACGACCUACGGGUGAAAGCAGGGGAUCUUCGGACCUUGCGCGAUUGAAUGAGCCGAUGUCGGAUUAGCUAGGUGGCGGGGUAAAGGCCCACCAAGGCGACGAUCCGUAGCUGGUCUGAGAGGAUGAUCAGCCACACUGGAACUGAGACACGGUCCAGACCCCUACGGGGGGCAGCAGUGGGGAAUAUUGGACAAUGGGCGCAAGCCUGAUCCAGCCAUACCGCGUGGGUGAAGAAGGCCUUCGGGUUGUAAAGCCCUUUUGUUGGGAAAGAAAUCCAGCUGGCUAAUACCCGGUUGGGAUGACGGUACCCAAAGAAUAAGCACCGGCUAACUUCGUGCCAGCCGCCGCCGUAA